rnacentral:lncRNA from 1 species
CAGCAUAUGGAAGUUCCCAGGCUAGGGGUCUAAUCGAAGCUGUUGCUGCCAGGCUACACCACAGCCACAGCAACGGGGAAUCCGAGCCAUGUCUGCAACCUACAACACAGCUCACGGCAACACCAGAUCCUUAAUCCACUGAGCAAGGCCAGGGAUAGAACCUGCAACCUCAUGGUUCCUAGUCGGAUUUGUUAACCACUGAGCCAUGAGGGGAAAGCCAAAAGUACAUUUUUAAAUGGAUAUUAGAACAAGAAAGGACUUUACUAAGUCAAGGGACAUUGGCUGAACAGAACUAGACUGAAUAUACCUGCUUCAUGACUUGAAAUGCAUCUUUUUCCUUAAAUGAUGUGUUCCUUAAAGGAAGAUCCAAAUCUUACCCACUGUUGAAUUCCCAGCUCUUAGUAGAUUCAAUUAACGUUUUUUAAAUUGAAUUUUGAAGUAGUAUUUUUUUCUUUUGGCUACUUUAUAACUAAAGUUUACAAAUAUUCAGAAGAGUGUAAGAUAUGUAAAAUGGGUCUCUGUAAUUCACAUGCACAUAGAGAGGGAUGGUGGGUGCUUAUUUGUCUUAUGUACCUGUUUGUAUCAAGAGGAAUACAGAAUUUUAUAACAAGUGGUUUAACAAAAUUUAUACAAUUGAAAUAGCAAGAGGUUAUUUUUGAGUUAUGUUAAUUACACUGGCUAAUUAAUUGCCUUGGCUCAGUGGUUAACAAAUCUGACUAGCAUCCAUGAGGAUGCAGGUUCAAUCCCUGGCCUUGCUCAGUCGGUUAAAGAUCCAGCGUUGCCAUGAGUUGUGGUGUAGGUCGCAGACACGGCUCAGAUCCUGUGUUGCUUUGGCUAGGCCAGUAGCUACAGGUCCAAUUGAACCCCUAGCCUGGGAACUCCAUAUUGAUGCAGAGGGCGAGGGGCUCAAAAGCCAAAAAAAAAAAAAGAAAAAGAAAAAGUAGUUAAAAGGAGGCAAGAACCAAGAACCAAGAGCCAAGAGCUAUUCUAUGCCUUCUACUCAUGUUUUGUCAGUAGCAAAUUGUCAAUAAGUAUUUAGACACUGACAGGCCUUUGAGAUGAUCUAAAUUACCAGGCUGAUUUCCUAAAACACCUAGAUAUUAGGAUAGUUUGUGUUUCCAGGAAUAUUUAUAUACUCUAUCCAGUUCUUUCUCAAACAUUUGUUAUUCAGCAUAUGGAUGUCAAAAUUAGGUAUAUUUGUCGAAUAUUUUUCUUGAGUAACUUGGAAAUAAGGGGAGCAGUUUUGGAGAUUUUCUUUGUACAUUAUAAAAAUAGCAUAGUUAUUGCUACUGGGCUAUGCCUUCUGACAUGCCUUUAUUAAAUACCUUCUCUUAUGUUAGUUCUAAAUUUACACAAACCUUUGCACUUUUCAGAAAGACAAUUUCCCCUGUAAAUAUAAUCCCUGUGAUUUUAAUAGUGACAGAAAGGGAAAGAAAAAUCCAUCAAGUUCACAUUAUCAAUUUGUUAGAAAGUGGCACAAAAAGUCACAUCCAGAAUAAGCUGUAUUUCAUUCAGGAUUUAGAAAGAAUGAGUGUUUGCAUCAUCAUUGCCACUACUAUCAUUUUCCAGGCUUCUAUUGGCUACACAGAACUGAAAGCACUCUUAUUUUUUUCAGUUCUUUCUUCAAAUUCAUGACUUUGUUCAGAUAUGCUUAGAGUAAGACAUUUUUACCACUAGGACUGACUGCUUGAUCCAAACAUCUUCACUAAUUUGGAUUUCUCUGGUAUUGUGGAAUCUUCACCACCUCUUUAAAGGGAACACUCUCUAAAAGGAAAAAUACUCAAAAUUGAUUGAAUAAGGAAGUUCCUGUUGUGGCUCAGUGGUAAUGAGCCCAACUAGUAUCCAUGAGGACACAGGUUCGAUCCCUGGCCUUGCUCAGUGGGUUAAGGAUCCGGCAUUGCCAUGAGCUGUGGUGUAGGACACAGACAUGGCUGAUCUGGCAAUGCGUAGGCUGGCAACUGUAUCUCUGAUUUGAUCCCUAGCCUGGGAACUUCCAUAUGCCACCCUUGCAGUCCUAUAGAGCAAAAAAGAAAAAAAAAAAAAAAAAAAAAUCAGUAAACUAACUAGAAAUACCUAGUUAACAGUUAAAGAUUAAGUUUGAAACACAGAUUCUGUAAGCAUUUCCAGAUUGGUCCAAAAUUCAGUUGACAAAGAGUUCUGUCUCGUGGGAUGGAAAAUAAUAAAGGAAGUCACUGAUCUCUAGUGAAGUUAUGACCGCACACACGCACUUCACUCUGGAUGUUAAAUCUUUGUCAAAUGUUCAUUUUCAGUUAUUUUUUUUGGUUUUUAAAGGAUGAGAUAGUGCUGGAGGAAAAGCUGUUUUCUAGUUGUGUGGCACUGUGAAAGCCACUUAAAAACUCUAGAGGUCACUUCACUAGAAAAAUCAGUGUUGAUUGCCAAUGUCAUUUUCAAUAUUAAUGUUCUAUGAUUCCACCAAACCAGAGUCAGCAUAAUAAAAAUUAUAUUCUACUAUAAUAUAGGGUUAAGAAAACACUGGAAAUACAUAAUACAUUCUCAGUAAUCUUAUGUUUAAUAAAGGGCCUUCUUUUACUUUAUUUUGAAAAUAGCAAGCCAAUAAGUAAAGGAAUAAGUGACAUUUUAAAGUUUAGCAGAAUAUGGUUGUCAGAAUUCUGUUUAAUUACAUAGUUACAGUUUAUCACAUAACAAAAAAUGUAAGGAAAU